rnacentral:pre_miRNA from 15 species
UGAAGUCGCAUGCGUGGUUGACAACGAGAGAGAGCACGCCGGUCCGCAAUCAUGCGGGCGGCCAUGGUUGUGUGUACCAGCGUGCUCUUUCUCGUCGUCACCUGGCUCGCUCGCCCUCG